GAUGAACGCUGACAGAAUGCUUAACACAUGCAAGUCAACUUGAAUUUGGGUUUUUAACUUAGGUUUGGGUGGCGGACGGGUGAGUAACGCGUAAAGAACUUGCCUCACAGUUAGGGACAACAUUUGGAAACGAAUGCUAAUACCUAAUAUUAUGAUAAUAGGGCAUCCUAUGAUUAUGAAAGCUAUAAGCGCUGUGAGAGAGCUUUGCGUCCCAUUAGCUAGUUGGAGAGGUAACGGCUCACCAAGGCGAUGAUGGGUAGCCGGCCUGAGAGGGUGAUCGGCCACAAGGGGACUGAGACACGGCCCUUACUCCUACGGGAGGCAGCAGUGGGGAAUAUUGGGCAAUGGACCAAGAGUCUGAUCCAGCAAUUCUGUGUGCACGAUGAAGUUUUUCGGAAUGUAAAGUGCUUUCAGUUGGGAAGAAAGAAAUGACGGUACCAACAGAAGAAGUGACGGCUAAAUACGUGCCAGCAGCCGCGGUAAUACGUAUGUCACGAGCGUUAUCCGGAUUUAUUGGGCGUAAAGCGCGUCUAGGUGGUUAUGUAAGUCUGAUGUGAAAAUGCAGGGCUCAACUCUGUAUUGCGUUGGAAACUGUAUAACUAGAGUACUGGAGAGGUAAGCGGAACUACAAGUGUAGAGGUGAAAUUCGUAGAUAUUUGUAGGAAUGCCGAUGGGGAAGCCAGCUUACUGGACAGAUACUGACGCUGAAGCGCGAAAGCGUGGGUAGCAAACAGG
rnacentral:rRNA from 1 species